rnacentral:miRNA from 1 species
ACGCGCCGCGCGGAGCGGAGCGUGCCGGCCGCGGGGCCUCGGGCGCA